AGAAAAUAUGCAAAAUAUAUUAAAACAUAAGUAUGUACAUACGUUAUACACAUGAUUUUUUUAGACUGCAACAACUCAAUAUGUGUAUGCUGAAUAAAAAAAUAAUCAAUUCCUCAUCCAAUAACGAAAAUAUUACGAGUAGUCAUAAUAUCCACAAAAGCUAUAAUACUUGUGUUUCUACUUUAUUUUACUUUAUCUUUUUUACACAAAAAACAGAAAAUUAAAUGCAAACACCAUUAUUAAACGUCAAUCCAAUUGAUGGAUUUACUUCCUAUUAUCAGAUUGUUCAUAUAUAACGCAAUAUAAAAAAUACAUAGAUAUGCAUCAUUAAAAAGAAUCAAUAUUGCUAUAAUAAGAUAUUAAUCGUAUAUGUGAAUAUGAUUUUUAUCAAAAUAAAUCUGAGAUGCAAAGAACAGAAUAUUUCUAAGAAAUCUUCAAAAAGAGUGCUUAAAAGCGGACCUCGCUAGAUAUAAUUAAUCGACAUCGACAGCGAUCGAUUAGUGACGAAGUCGAUCAAUCAUUUCUAGAGAGAAUAAAGUAAUAACGUUUCGGGGUGACAGUGUACAUUAACGUGCGGCUUUAACGUUUAUUUUGAUACGGUCAGUGCGUAGACGUAGCUGUCAUUAUUAUUUGCGCGACACGUCCCGAAUCUGCAAGUAAUCGUGUGAAGUUUGUCGCGAACCGUCGCGUCGGUCGCGCGUGCCGUUGUCUUAUCGUCCGAAACGCGAGCGCGACAGGUUAGCGAUGAGUACGAGACGAGACGAAACGAGAAGAGAUCUUUUGUUUCGAUUGUUAGUUAAGGACUGCUAGACCGCGUAAGUCAUUAACUUGAGCACUUGUUGAUUGUAAUGACCAUACUGAGACAAUGGCUGUUCAGUAAUUUCACCUAUUCAGUGACUCUGUUCUCGAAUAGAGGUACUAAAUAAAUUUUAAAAGUUGAGCAACAUCCGUAUUUAAUUAAGGAGCAAACAAUGAAUCGUACGAGCGUUUGACUAAUAUCGAGAGUGCCGCAAAGUGCUACGCGAUUGUAUUCUAAUAAUUCACACGUGUAACCGUGUCUCGGCGUUCCCGUGAGUGUUGUGUGAGUGCAAACCAUCUGAGAGGAGGAGGAGGCCUGGGUGGCAUCGGGUGACAGUGGAGCAACCAUGGACUCAAUAUUUUUUAUUCAACUCCACUGCUGCGCAUCGUAUCGAAAAUACUACCCGAUGAGAAGAAGCGAUACGCCGAUGAGAACGUACAAGCUCACCGUCUGUCAAUGCCGCCAAGAAACCAUUGGCUUCUCUUAAGUAGCACGAUGGCCGAGAUGCAAGGCUAACAUAAUCAACCGUACUUUCUCCAAAGACCACGGGAAAUGUUUGAACCCGGUAAUGAUUGCAGUUUCAAAUAAUUACGUUUUUAAGAAUACUUCUACAAUUUUAUUUUUCUUUAUAAUACUUGAUUAUUUAUGCUGACAACACAUGUUUAUUUAAUUAGCUAAAGGAGAAGAAUAGUUGAAUUAGAAUUUAGUACUUUAUAAGUAAUAGCUGAAGGAAAGUACAAGGAUACUGAAAUAUUGUACUUGCAAAAGUUUAUCAAGAGCUUUAUCACGAUUUAAUUAAUGAUUAUUCACUUAUAAUGAAAAAUUAUAACGAUUAUAUAAAUAAUUUUUUAUGCAAUUUAUGUCUUAUCAAUGGUCUAUUAAAUUUCUUUAACAAUCACAUUCUACAACAAUAUAACAAAUAAAAUGAGUCAUUAAUGAUAAUUAUAGCGGACUCUUUUGUCAAAAGUUUCUAAUUGCUUGUAAUUUAAUAUUUAUUAAUUUUAUAUUAAAAAAGAUUUUUGAUUGCCGAACAUCAUAACCUGAUCAUACAUGUAAUAAAUUUGCUUAUGCAAGUUAACAUAUACUUAUGAAGCAAACUAUAUCAAUAAUAAAACUUGUCACUUUGCAA